GACGAACGCUGGCGGCGUGCUUAACACAUGCAAGUCGAACGAAGUGGCGAACGGGUGAGUAACGCGUAAUCAACCUGCCCUUCAGAGGGGGACAACAGUUGAAAACGACUGCUAAUACCGCAUACUGAAGGAGGAGUGUGCGUCUGAUUAGCUAGUUGGAGGGGUAACGGCCCACCAAGGCGAUGAUCAGUAGCCUGGCCGGGAGGAUGAACGGCCACAUUGGGACUGAGACACGGCCCAGACUCCUAAGGGAGGCCGCAGUGGGGAAUCUUCCGCAAUGGACGAAAGUCUGACGAAGCAACGCCGCGGGAUUGAUGAAGGCCUUCGGGUUGUAAAGCUCUGUUAAUCGGGAAGCGUUACCGGAAUAGAAAGCAACGGCUAACUACGUGCCAGCAGUCGCGGUAAUUC
rnacentral:rRNA from 1 species